rfam:Loxodonta africana unplaced genomic scaffold scaffold_50, whole genome shotgun sequence.
GGGGGUAUAGGUCAGUGGUAGAGCAUUUGACUGCACAUCAAGAGGUCCCUGGUGCAGAUCCACGUGCCCCCU